CAGUCGAACGCUUCAGCAAUGAAGAGUGGCAGACGGGUGAGUAACGCGUGGGAACCUUCCCAGUGGUACGGAAUAGCCCAGGGAAACUUGGGGUAAUACCGUAUAAGCCCUUAGGGGGAAAGAUUUAUCGCCAUUGGAUGGGCCCGCGUCGGAUUAGCUUGUUGGUGAGGUAAAAGCUCACCAAGGCGACGAUCCGUAGCUGGUCUGAGAGGAUGAUCAGCCACACUGGGACUGAGACACGGCCCAGACUCCUACGGGAGGCAGCAGUGGGGAAUAUUGGACAAUGGGCGCAAGCCUGAUCCAGCCAUGCCGCGUGAGUGACGAAGGCCUUAGGGUUGUAAAGCUCUUUUGGCGGGGACGAUAAUGACGGUACCCGCAGAAUAAGCUCCGGCUAACUUCGUGCCAGCAGCCGCGGUAAUACGAAGGGAGCUAGCGUUGUUCGGAAUUACUGGGCGUAAAGCGCACGUAGGCGGACUUGUUAGUCAGGGGUGAAAUCCCGGGGCCCAACCUCGGAACUGCCUUUGAUACUGCAAGUCUGGAGUCCGGAAGAGGUGGGUGGAAUUCCUAGUGUAGAGGUGAAAUUCGUAGAUAUUAGGAAGAACACCGGUGGCGAAGGCGG
rnacentral:rRNA from 1 species